GCAGACACAUUCCAUCCAAUCAGCAGCAGACCCUCCCUCCCAGACCCUCCCACCUCCUGGACAGCAUCCAUUUUACAUUCAUUGUGAAGCUGCAUUCUUAGUGAGCUGUCCAGGAGGUGGGAGGGUCUGGGAGGGAGGGUCUGCUGCUGAUUGGCUGGAAUGUGUCUG
rnacentral:miRNA from 1 species